CGCCCCUACGCCGACGUCACCGACGCCGCAGACGUCGGCCGCAGCUAGCGGCGGUUAGAGGGAGGAGGCAAGCGGAGCCGAGGCGGGAGCGGCUGCGGUCGACGGCGGGAAUGUCGGGGGCGAGGCGGCGCUACGAAUGUGCUGCCUACUACUGAUUACUGCACAAUACCUCCACAUUCCAAGACCGUCUUCCUUGUGACUGGAUGGAAACUUGGAAAGCACUCUAAUCACAAAAGCAGCGCAUUUGCAGCCGAUUCCAAGGGUUAAAGUUGGAUGCAGAAUAAAUCUGGGGAGACAAGGCUUGAGAUUAGAGAUCCAGCAUGGAAAAUACAAUGAAUUAACUUCCUGGGCUACAUGAGUAUUCACAUUUCUGAGUUACAAGGGGUUUGCUUUUUCUUUUGACCUCAAAAGACAUUUGGGAACUUUGGGAAAACUACAUGGCAUCUUUUAAGUUUUGCUUAUGAUUGUCAAGAGGGAUAGCCUCAAAAUUUAAAAGAGGUGGCACCGUCUGGCUUCCAGUAUCAAUAACCUUAUCACAGAUCCACCCCUGUGGUUCUUGUUCAGACUUUUUGAGGGUCCCACCUCACUGUCAACCUCAUUCGCAUUCAUAGUUUUAGCAUUACAGCUAACCAUUUUUUUAGUUGAUGGUCUGCAAACCUUUGCAGAUGAUAUGAAAUCUUCAUGUCAACAUUAACAAAUGCUUUACUAGUUUCUCUAUUUGACCAACAGGUGCUUCUGAAUAGGCCAGCUUGGGAGGAAAUGUCUUGGCAUAAUUCUUAAUUUGUAUCUUGACUUUUAGAGGUAAACUAUUGUCAUUUUUAAUCACUGCUGGAGGCAUUUUGUCAAAGGAUUCCUUUUUGGUUCCUUCAUCUUCAUCAUCUGCUUCAUCUUCUUCAUAGGUAUCGUUUCCUGAUAUUUCUGUAGCUUUAAAAGACUUUGCAUCUCUUAUUUCUUAACCUCUUCAUGAUUUCUUCACUUCUGUUUUUCCUUUCCCGUCUUUCCAGCAGGUUCUCUCUUGAAGAUCUGAGCCGUGCAUCCUAUGGCCACCGUAAAAGACCCCUUAUACCACACUGACACAUUUCUCCACUCAUGUUCUGGAAGCAGCUCUUCUACGAUUUCUCCAGAUUCUGUUCCUGAGCUAAAGCUUAGAAGAAGGAGAUUACUGGGACAAACUACACCCCCAUCACUCAGUCGGUCUCAGGGCCGCGACUACUCCUCAUUCUCCUCCUCCACUACCCAUUCCACAUCCUACUCUCCUUUGCCUGUCACCUCUGCAGAUCUCAGUGGCUUACCUGGGUGUGACUCAAAUCCUUAUUUCUUAUGAGAAUGUAUUGGUAAUUAUACCCUUCUCAGGCAGGGAUUCCUGCACAUGUCCUUCCAUACUUCUAAGUACGUAUCAGGAGACCUUCAAGUGAAUCACCUAGGGUCCACAUGUAUUUUUCCCUGUCCAUUAUGUGAAAGCAGCCCUUCCUCUUCCUGUUGAUCUAGGUCAUUUACUCUUGCCAAGAUGGGGACUCCUCUUCUUGCCUGCUGAUGGCUGGACACAAAAAGUCCAAAGUGCCCGAACAGUAGCCAUAGUUUACAGGUCAGUGGGACUCUUGUUGUGUUCUCUGACAAAAAAAAAAAUGCACUCAUUUUGGGGGACCAGAGUUGUGGGAACAGGAAGCACAGUCUCCCAAUGACUCAUUGAGAUGCUAAGUGGGGCCACUUCUGCUCCCUCCAUCUUUUUCCUGGACCCAUAUUUUCUUCCUAUUAGGGGCAUUGCCAAUCAGAGGUCUCUGAUAUAGUGUAUAUACUGCAUCCUGAAGGAUGGCACUCAAUCCUUGUGGACUGUUGCCUCUAAACUGGCACUGCAGCUGUGCCUUCAGUAGGUUGUCUAGUGCUCUUAUCAGGCUGUCUGCUUCUGGGUAGUGCAGUAGGUGGUACAACCAGUAGAUGCCUUGGUCAUGAGCUUCAAACCCACAUCGCCUUUCCUGUGAAGUGGUUCCCCCGUUUGGAUGCCAUGUUGAGUUAGAUCCCGUGCCAGUGGAUAGGGCCUUCUGUAAGCUCCUAGAGAGUAGUACGGGCUGAGGCUCUGUAGGCAAAAUAGGCAAACCCAUACCCAGAUAGGUGUUUGUCUCUGUGAGGAUGAACUACUGGUCACUCCAAAAUGGAAAGGGCUCAGUGUUGUUGACUUGCCACCAAAUGGAUUGUUUAUAUCAAGUAAAAUGCCAUAUCAGGAGCUUAGCGUUGGUCUCUGUUGCUGGCAAGUUAGACCUCCAGAGAGAGAAGCAGCUAGGUUGGCCUCGGUAAGUGGGAAUUCACGCUGUUGGAUUCAUGUGUAGCCUCUAUCUCUGCAAACAUUGCCAUUCCACUCGUGUGUCCAUUGUGCCAGUUUUGGGGUAGACCGUGACAAAGUGUGGCUAACAUUGACUAGUAGAAUCUUUGUAUCUACUUGGGUGUUCCACACCUUUUUCAAGGUUGAUUCUUUCAGGUUGGAAUAAACAUGGGAUGCAGAAAGCUUCACCCUUUGCAACCACACUAUUCUGUCUGUCCUGUCCGCAUGCCUCUACUCCAGAACUCCUUGUCUCCAGUCUCCCAGUCUUUUCUUUCAAAGUCCUGACGAGCUGAGCACGCCAUUGCCACUGCCCAGGCAACCAUAAAAAUUCUCAUCACAGGUACUUCUCUCAUACAAAGUGGAUGGCCAGCUAUACUGCUUGAAGCUCUGCCCACUAGGAAGAUUUUCUCUCUCCGCCAUCUUUUAGGGACACCACUGAAUAUGGCUGUGAUGUGCUGCCAUCCAUUUUUUAGUUUCUACCCACAUAUCAAGCCAACCCAUUCACAAUCAAGCUUGAGCUUUUUUCUUCUCCCUUAGCUGGCCAUACAGCCUGAGGGAGGGGUGCUGAUAUAGUGGGUGAUACGGGGGCUGGACUACUAGCUUAUGCCGUUAACUCAUGCCUUGGGAUGUGAUUUCGAAUGCAUCAUUUCCACGUUAUGAUGAACUGCUGUUGGGCCCAUCAACUUUAUGAUUGGGCUUAUCUGACAGAAUUCAGCUCAUGGUGGUACUUCUGGACUUGGUGCCUCACAGUCAAGCUUUCUGCCUCCACUGGGGCCCAAUACCAAGCCAGUGGCUGUUUCUUGAGAGGAGUAAAAUCUUCUGCUACAGAUGGCCUGGCCUUGCUCCAAAAUCCCAGAGGACUAUCUUGUGAUCUCCUACUGGGACUUGCUUUAAAUUCCACACUGCUGCAGAGCCCAUUGCUGGUGUAGGCUUCACUUAGAACUGGCAACCUUCCAUGUCACCCAGGAUAUGAGCCAGAGUGGUAUUCCGAGGUGUGGAAUUUGUGCUUUUGGAACCCAAAGAGGCCCACCAGGCAUUGUGCUUCAUUACAGUACGAGAUGCAAGAUACAGAAAUUUGUCUUUUACUCUGGAGGGGAUGCCUCCACGUGCCACUGACUGUUGGACCUCUAAAAAACAUUACUGAACCUUCUUAGGGUUUAUCUCCCACCCUCUGGAUGCAUGUGUCUUACCAAGUCCUCUAGCCUACAAGCCAACUCUUGCUCUUCCUACUUAACCAGUAUAUUAUUGGCAUAACGUAUCUGUAAUGGUCUACAGGGUAUCCAGACAGUCCAGAUCUCUUCAGACUGUAUUACAAUAGAGGGUAGAGGAAUCAACAUAGUCCUUGGACAAAACUGGAAAUAAAUAUGAUCUCUUCCACAUGAAUGUGAAUUGCUUCUCAGCCAUAUUUCUGACUGGAAUAUAAAAGAAUGCAUUCACCAAAUCAGUGGCCACAUAACCAUGUACCUGAGGUUUUCUUAAUGUACCCUACCAAUGGCAGCAUGUCCAACACAGCUUGAAUUGGAAUUACUACUUGGUUAAAUUUGCUGUGGUAUUCUACAUUCACCUAUUAGUGCACAAUGGCACUGAUCACCACCAUCAACCCUGGGACACAGUAGCAGUUUUGAUUAUGUUAGCUGGCGUGGGGAACAAUUUCAAAGGCUUCCAGUUGGCCUUCCUCACGUGAAUCCAUGGUGUGGUGGUGACACUUUGGAUCUCCACUUAUCCUACUUCUCUCAGCAAUGAGGUCCAAAGCUCCUUGAAAUGACUGGCAUUCCCCUUCCCCCAUGGUAAGUGCACUCCUCAAGUAAGUGCCAUGGGUCCCUUUGGGGAGUGAUGAAAAAUCAUUACAAUGUAUACUUUCCACAGUGUUGUAGAGUCCUUCUCGUAGCCACUUAUUAAGUGGACUCCAGAUCUGAAAAUUGGCUCAAAUUCAGGAACCGAGCAACAUACCCUGACUUUUUAUUGAGAUAACUGCCCCUCCAUUCUUGCCUGCUGCUGAUUAUAGAUGUUAAGCUGCACCCUUAUUAGCUGCUUACCUAUUUUGACCCUACGGUAAGGUGACCAUCUUGUCCAGUUUUUUCUAAGUUCCAAGAGAGGUCUUCUUGCUCUCACAUGUAGGCUUUAGCUGUUUGUAAACAGCCCUCAGUUUCUCAUUCUCUCUCUGCAUGGUAUCAGUGCGACUUAGGAAUAACUGACCAACUCCACUGCUUUCUAACCAUUGCUCUCCCCAUGUCUUUCAAAUCCCCAGAAUGUCACACAGGCAAGGAUGUCCCCACACUGGGAGAAAACUGUAGUUUGUUUUGUUUGACCUUUACCAGUUGUUUCGCCGUUUUGAAAAAUUACAUCAACAACAGCAACACUGAUAUUUGAAUCACCAAUACGAUAUGCCUGUAUCUGAAUUUGUGUAUAUAUCUCAUGUAUAUAUAUGAAUAUGCUUUCUUAGCCCUUAUUUCAAAAUGUAAAUAUAAAUAAAAUUGCUAUCAAUA